GGUAGGGAACUCAACAUGAUUGCAAAUGUCUGAGGAAAAAGUUUUUACUUAUGGGUCCAAGGCAGCCCUGUGGAGACACGGACCUGCUGCUCUUUCUGUGACACACAAGAGGGAGCUCUUGGUCACCACAAUUUACAUGGAACCAUCGCAUCAUGGAAUGGUUGGGUUUGGAAAGCACAUUUAAAGGUCUUCUGGUCCCUGCCCCUGCGAUGAUCAGGGACAUCUUCAAUUAAAUCAGGUUGCUCAGAGCACUCUCCGACCUGACUUUGAGUGUUUCCCGGGGUGAGGCAUUUACCACCUCUCUUGGCAAGCUGUGUGAGUGUUUGACCACCCUCAUGCUAAAAAUAUUGUUCCUUAAAUAGUCUAAACACUCAGUUUAAAAUCAUUACCCCUUUAGUUCCCUCUUCUCAGUUUUUGUUCAAAUUAUAUUCAGUACCUAAGGUUUUCUUCCUUUCAAACUAACUCUUUCAAUUCAGUGAUAAAUAGAUAUAAGAAAGCUAAAAAUAUUUAAGUAAAUAGUGGCAAUCAUGACCAAACAUAGGUAUAGCUCAACAUCCAAAGCCUACACCUUGUUUAGGCUCACAGUUCAGCAGUGAAAGCCACACAUCUAUUUAUGUACCAGCAGUCCAUGUGUAUAACCUACAGACAUCUCCAGGAAUGAGGCUUACAAGCACCCAUCUUCUGAGCAGGGAGGGAGCUGCAAAAGUUGCUCCAUGGAAAAUGAAGAAAUGUUACCCCCAUGGGAACUGUCAUUUCUCUGUUCUGGCAUCAGUGGCAGAUGUGACCUGCUCUUAGCAAUCUCUGGCUGGCAUUAACAGUUCCCAUUCUUCUCCAGGGACAGGUGCCCUUCCUCAGUGCUGUUACACAUCAUGUACUGCUAGGGUAUGACAGUAGGACCACCCCAAUUAUUUUAGUUUCAUUAGUACAUGGAGUGCUUAGGAUGGUGUGAAAGAUCAAUUCCUGUUAGUCCAAACCUGGACUUCAAUGUGAAGGGGAGGGAUGUGGGGAAGGGCUGAAAAACCCAGGAAGAGAGAGGCAAUGAAAGGCUGGCUGCAGUGAAUUAGAUAGGAAUCCCAAAGGAUGCCCUGACCAGAUUUUAAAUUAAGCAUUUCCCAAAGCACUCCUCUCAGUGCCCCACCUUUUGUUUUGGUUUGUUUUUUUUCUCUCAGUCAUGGCUGAAUUUUUAUAAUCCUGUUGCACUUUACCUAAUGAAAGACUUGUGUUUCCAUAUGUGCACUUGUAUUCACUCAGAUUUAUAUUCACUUAGAUUUGUAACACGUUAUGAAACAUUCAUGCUGAUUUUAUCUGGGAUGGAGUAAAUUUUCUUCACAGUAGUUAGUAUGGAGCUGGGUUUUGUAUAUGUCCUGAAAACUGUGUUGAUAACUCAUGGUGUUCUCCUUGCUGAGCAGUGUUUAUGCAGAACCAAGGCCUUUUCUGCUCCUCACCCCACCCCAGCAGCAAGUGGGUUGGGAUUCACAAGGAGCUGAGAAGGGGACACAGCUGGGACAGCUUACCCCCACUGACCAAAGGCACAUUCUGUACUUUAUAACAUCAUGCUCAGCAUAUAAAGUUGAGAGAGGACAAAGAAAGGGGAAAAGAGGAAGGUUCAGAGGGAUGGCAUUUGUAUUCUCCAGUCACUUUUAUGCAUGAUAAAGCCUGGCUUUCCUGGAGAUGGCUGAACACCUGCCUGUCCCUGGGAAGGAGUAAAUGAUUUCCUUGUGUCACUUUGCGUGCAUGUGUGGCUUUUGCUUUGCCUAUUAGACUGUUUUUAUCUUGCGUGUUUUCUCACUUUUACCCUUCUUAUUCUUUCCCUUAUCCCACUAGGGGUAAUGAGUGAGCAGCUGCAUGGGGCUGAGCUGCCGGCUGGGGUCAAACCAUGAUAACACUUAAUAACUUACUGCCUUUACAACUAUACAUAGUUGGUGUAAUAAAAUACAUCAUUCUCCCUACAGAAACAGUUUAAAAGUAUUAGAACCAAUAUUGCAGCUUCAUAAUAGUCGCCAAAUUCUCUAUAUUUUAUAUAUUGCUCUUUAAAAUGGGACAGGCAGGGGAAAUGAGGAGGAUAUGUUGCCUUCUAUAUCAGUGAUAAACUCAGAGUGCAUGGAGUUCUGCCUGGGGAUGAAUGACGGGCCAGUAUUAAAGGAAUGGCAGGGACAGGGGACAUGAGUCAUCUACAGGCAUGUAGGAACCACCUCAUGUUCACAAGCCCUUAUCCUCAUGGGGGACUUCAACCAGCCUAUUAUCUGGUGGAAGGACAAUACAGCAGGGAAUUAAGCAUGGAGUUUCCAGGAAUGCCUCAAAGGUAACUUCCUUCUCCAAGUGAUAGAGAAGCCAACAAGGAGAGGUGUUGUGCUGGACCUUGUUCUCACCAAGAAGGAGGGUCUGGUGCGAGAUGUGAAGCUCAGCCUGGGCUGCAGUGACCAUGAAAUGGUGGUGUUUGAGAUCCUUAGGAGAGUGAGGAGGGGCAAAGCAAGCCCUGGACGUCAGAGCAGCCAUCUUGGCCUAGAGAGAUCUGCUUGGUAGAGUGCCAUGGGAUAAAGCCCUGGAGGAAAGAAGACCCCAGGAAAGCAGGUUAAUGUUCAAGGAUCACCUCAGGAGUGAUCAGAGGCUCAGGAGCCUCCCAAUGAACAGGAAGCCAAGUGAAAACCUUAGGAGGUGUGCAGAUGAAUAUGGAGCUGCUGGACACAUUCAAACACAAAAAGGAAGUCUACAGAGGCUUGGAGCAAGCACAAGUAGCCUGGGAGGAAUAUGGAGAGAUUGAAUACCCAGGGAUUAGAUUAGGAAAGCUAAAUCACUGAUAGAAUUAAACCUGACCGGGACAUCAAGGGCAGCAAGAAGAGCUUCCAUAGGUACACCGGUGAUAAAGGAAGACUAGGAAAAAUUACGUUCUCCAGUGACACCAUCCAAAUUGCAGAAGGUGAAGGGACAGAUUGAGAGAAUGAAGAGCCACCUGCUGUAGGUCAAGUUCAAGAAUAUCUGAGAAACCUGAAGGUGCACAAAUCAAUGGGACCCAACAAGAUUCUUGUGUGGAUCCUGAGUGAACUGGUGAAGAAAGUAGCUAAGUUACUAUCCAUCAUACUUUAGAAGUCAUGGCAGUCUAGUGAAGUUCCCGCUGGCUGGAAAAGGGGGAACAUAAUCCGUACUUUUAAAAAGAGAAAAAGGAAGAAAGAUCCAGGGAACUACAAAACCGUCAGUCACCUCAGAGCUUGGCAAAACCAUGGAGCCAAACCUUCUGGUAACUAACUAAGGAAUGUGGAAAAUACAAAGGUGAUUGGUCACAAACUUCACUAAAGGAAAAUCAUGCCUGACAAA